CUACGGGGGGCUGCAGUGGGGAAUAUUGGGCAAUGGGCGCAAGCCUGACCCAGCAACGCCGCGUGAGGGAAGAAGGUUUUCGGAUUGUAAACCUCUGUCCUUGGGGACGAAGAAGUGACGGUACCCAAGGAGGAAGCUCCGGCUAACUACGUGCCAGCACGGCGCGGUAAUACGUAGGGAGCAAGCGUUGUCCGGAAUUACUGGGCGUAAAGGGUGCGUAGGCGGCAUAUUAAGUCAGGUGUGAAAUACUCGGGCUCAACCCGGGGGCUGCAUUUGAAACUGAUAUGCUUGAGUGUGAGAGAGGAAAGUGGAAUUCCUAGUGUAGCGGUGGAAUGCGUAGAUAUUAGGAGGAACACCAGUGGCGAAGGCGACUUUCUGGCUCAUAACUGACGCUGAGGCACGAAAGCGUGGGGAGCAAACAGGAUUAGAUACCCUUGUAGUC
rnacentral:rRNA from 1 species